rfam:Pristionchus pacificus strain PS312 contig3244, whole genome shotgun sequence.
GGUCCCGUGGUGUAGCGGUUAACACUCAGGACUCUGAAUCCUGCGAAGGGAGCUCAAAUCUCCACGGGACCU